AGAGUUUGAUCCUGGCUCAGAAUGAACGCUGGCGGCGUGCUUAACACAUGCAAGUCGUGCGCGAAGGUGGCUUCGGCCACCGGAGAGCGGCGAACGGGUGAGUAACACGUGGGUGAUCUGCCUGGGAGCGGGGGAUAACCUGGGGAAACUCGGGCUAAUACCGCAUACGUUGAUCUGGUUACGAUCAGGUCAAGAAAGCUGGCCUCUAUUUAUAAGCUAGCGCUCGCAGAGGAGCCCGCGGCUGAUUAGCUAGUUGGUAGGGUAAUGGCCUACCAAGGCGACGACCAGUAGCCGGCCUGAGAGGGUGAUCGGCCACACUGGGACUGAGACACGGCCCAGACUCCUACGGGAGGCAGCAGUGGGGAAUAUUGGACAAUGGGCGCAAGCCUGAUCCAGCAACGCCGCGUGGAGGACGAAGGUCUUCGGAUCGUAAACUCCUGUCAGGCGGGACGAAGGCUUCCGGGCAAAUAGUCCGGAAGCUUGACGGUACUGCCAGAGGAAGCCCCGGCUAACUCCGUGCCAGCAGCCGCGGUAAUACGGAGGGGGCUAGCGUUAUUCGGAAUUAUUGGGCGUAAAGGGCGCGUAGGCGGCCCGGUAAGUCAAAGGUGAAAUCCCUCGGCUCAACUGAGGAACUGCCUUUGAAACUGUCGGGCUUGAGGCCGGGAGGGGGUAGCGGAAUUCCCAGUGUAGCGGUGAAAUGCGUAGAUAUUGGGAGGAACACCGGUGGCGAAGGCGGCUACCUGGACCGGUUCUGACGCUGAUGCGCGAAAGCGUGGGUAGCGAACAGGAUUAGAUACCCUGGUAGUCCACGCUGUAAACGAUGGGUGCUCGGUGUCGCGGGUAUCGACCCCUGCGGUGCCUUAGCUAACGCGUUAAGCACCCCGCCUGGGGAGUACAGUCGCAAGGCUGAAACUCAAAGGAAUUGACGGGGGCCCGCACAAGCGGUGGAGCAUGUGGUUUAAUUCGAUGCAACGCGAAGAACCUUACCUGGGCUUGAACUGUGGUGGACCGGUCUGGAAACAGUCCUUCUCCUUCGGGAGCCGCCAUAGAGGUGCUGCAUGGCUGUCGUCAGCUCGUGUCGUGAGAUGUUGGGUUAAGUCCCGCAACGAGCGCAACCC
rnacentral:rRNA from 1 species